AUACGGAGGGUGCAAGCGUUAUCCGGAAUCAUUGGGUUUAAAGGGUGCGCAGGCGGUUUAAUAAGUCAGUGGUGAAAUCUCGGAGCUCAACUCCGAAACUGCCAUUGAUACUGUUAAACUUGAGUUCAGUUGGAGUAGGCGGAAUGUGUAGUGUAGCGGUGAAAUGCUUAGAUAUUACACAGAACACCGAUAGCGAAGGCAGCUUACUAAACUGAUACUGACGCUGAGGCACGAAAGCGUGGGGAGCGAACAGGAUUAGAAACCCCUGUAGUCC
rnacentral:rRNA from 1 species